UAUAAAUUAAAUAGUAAACAUCGUAUAAUUUCGGGGAUAUGGCCUGAUAAGUUUCUACCAAGCUGCCGUAAAUAGCUUGACUACGAGGUUGUGAGAUAUAGGU
rnacentral:ncRNA from 2 species